rnacentral:lncRNA from 1 species
UUUGGGAAGUUGAAUAAUGUUUACUUAAUGGUUACUAUAACAAUAGAAAUAGUAAGCAUAUCUCAAAGUGAAAAAAUGACAUUUGUCACUUUUUGUCUGUGUGCACUACCUAAUUUCAAGCAGAAAUUCCUUCAAUGUAAUCUCUUUCUUUCUUUCCUUUUUUUUUUGGAGUCUUCAUCCAUUUUUAGAUUGCUAAAAUGCUUUCCUUCCCUUUCCUUAUUUUAAGAUUGUGAUGAUGUAUAAAUGCUUGGCUCGGGGAAUGGCACUAUUAGGAGGUAUGGCCUUGUUGGAAUUGAUGUGUCACUGUGGGCUGGGGCUUAGACCCUCAUCCUAGCUUCCUGGAAGCCAGUCCUAUCCUAGUAGCCUCAAGGUGAAGAUGUAGAACUCUCAGCUCCACCAACACCAUGCUUACCUGGAUGCUGCCAUGCUCCCACCUUGAUGAUAAUGGACUGAACCUCUGAACCUGUAAGCCGGCCCUAACUAUAUUAGGGUUGCCUUGGUCAUGGUAUUUGUUUACAGCAGUAAAACUAAGACAGGAGUUGGUACCAGGAAUGGGGUAUUGAUAUGAUAGGCUGACCGUGCUUUUGUUUGGAAAAAUGUGGAUUUGGGGACUUUGUAUUUGGGAAAUGGUAGAAUGCUUUAAGUAGGACUUAGUGGGAUAUCCUAUUAGGAAUGUGGAUGACUUUUUUGCUAAAAGUGAUUUGAAUUGUGCAGACCUGGCCUAAGAGGUUUCAGUGGAGAAGAAUUUCACUAGGUGGCAUAGACACUGUCUUUUUUGUAUUUUAGUGAACAAUGUAGCUGCUUUUUUCCUUUUUCUGAGGAGUCUACCUGAGGCUAAGGUAAACAGACAGAGACUUUGUUCUCUGGUUCAAUCUGAGUUUUGAACAAGCACAACAAGCUUAAAAAGGAAAAAUAUAAAGUGCAUGAUUCAAGCAAUAAUAAAGGAGUGUCAUGAAAUAAAAUGGAGCUGGAUCCUAUGUUCAAAGAGAUAAAAAGAUUAAGGGAGUGGUAAACUUAGGGCAAGAUCCUACCCAGCUAUGCUUAAUGUUUGUGUUUGCAGUUGAACAAGGAAUAGUUUGGACUUUUAAUUAGAAAUGAACUUAAAUCCAGAAAUGGAUAGCACACUGGUGAUCCAGAUCUUGAGGUUGGAAGACACCAGCUUUUGAUCAAGAUCUUGAAGAACAAUGACCAUGAAAAGCUUAGGUUCAGGCAUGGUGGUACACACCUUUAAGCCCAGGAUACAAAGCCAAGCAGAUCUCUGACUUCAAGGCCAGCUUGAGAUAGAGAAAAUUCCAAGUAGUGAUAAACUUAAAUUCAGGCAUGUUAGUCUCAGCAUUCAAGAGACAGAACCAAACAGAUCUCUGAAUUCAAGGUCAAUCUACCGAGCAAGUUCCAAGACAGCCAAGCUUAGGCUGUGAGGGCGUUAGAAACAGCAAGCUAGUAAUAGAACAAGAGGGGUAUAUUCCAACUGCUGGAAGCAGCAGAACUCAGCAGCCUUGCACCAAGAGGCUGUAGCUUUAGAGUCAAAAAUGUAAGGAACUACUGGGACAAUUGAUGCUUGUUAGCUAGAGCUAAGAAAUUAGUGGUGAUUAAGAAGAGACUAGCUUCACUGAAGUGAAAUCUUCUGGGAAGUGUUUUUCUGAAAGCACAAAGAAGCUGCAUUCCAGAGAUAGGCAAGGUUGUACUCUGUGUGGCAAAUGUACUUGGCAAUGUGAAAGAGUCACCCAGAAGGUUUGAAGCCAUGAAGAGCUCAUGAAGAGCAGCUGAGGCUUGGCCCUGUGAAAGGCCAAAGAAGGCCAUUGAUGAAGGUAUUGUCUCAGUUACAUUUGAUGCCCAGGACUGAAGGAAUCAUGGAAUGAAGUUGAGACCUGGCACUGUGAAGAUAGACUACAAGAUGCUCUCUGUGAAGCCUAGUUGCAGAAGAACGAUCCAGUAUAUUGUAGAUGCCAGUACCAUGUGACAAUCACUAAGAACAGCAGCAACAGUGGAGUGAAAUCAAUCAGAGCCUAGAGUGCUACAGUAGGCAGAGCUGGAGAUGUGACCCAAGCCCAGAAGAUCAUGGGUGGAUCACAGACAUAGGAACAAGAAGCUGUAACACUGAAAUUGCCUUGAAAACCCCAAGAUAUCCAAGAUGCCUGAGCCAUUAAAUAUUUGCUGAGGAAAGCUGCUAACAUAGAGUAAAACAAGUCCAAGAGAAAGAAGUUUGUUACAGUCAACAAAGAUGAAAAAGGAUUAGAGAUCUGAAGACUAUUUUAACAUCAGAAAUGUAGAUACAGCUUUUGGAGUUUGCCCAAUUGGUUUUCUAUCUUGCUUUGGGGAUUCCAGUUAAGUGAUUAGAUCAAUCUCAGAAGAAACUUUGAGCUUUGACCUUUAACAUUGUUGAGACUGCUAUAGACUAUGGGGAUUUUGGAAGUUAUACUAAAUGCACAUUUUUAUUAUGCUAUGUCUAGGUAUGGCCCCUAUAGACUCAUAUGGUUGAACAAACCUAUGGGGACCAGGGAGUGGAAUGUGAUAGUUUGCAUAUGCUUGGCCCAGGGAGUGGCACUAUUAGGAAUUGUGGCCUUGUUAGAGUAAGUGUGAGGCUUAUCAUCCUCAUCCUAGCUGCCUAGGAGCCCGUCUAUUAGGAGCCUUCAGAUGAAGAACACUCAGCUCCUUCUGCACUAAACCUUCCUGAACACUGCCAUGCUCCCACCUUGAUGAUAAUGGAUUGAACCUCUGAGCCUGUAAGCCAGCUCCAAUUAAAUGUCCUUAUAAGAGUGGCCUUGGUCAUGGUGUCUGUCCACCACUGUAAAAUCCUAACUAAAACAAAGACCAUCAGAGCUCCAUUUAAUUCACUCUAGAAAUAUCAAUAUUUUUAUGUUGUACACAAAUGUUUAAUGCCUUUCUUUCAGUCCUGUAUUCCCCAGAUCCCUUCUUUAAAACUUUUUUUUUUUAUGACAGACUAUUGCUAAUUACUUUCUCUCAACUGAAAAGUUGAUUAGGUGUUUCCCUCUGCCAAUUCCUGCCAAAUCUUCCUUACCUCCCUCCUCACCUAACUUUAUGUUCUUUGUUUCUCUCUUAAAAGCAUAUAAAGAAAAACAACAAAACAAAAUCAAACAAACAAAAACCGAGAAACACAAACAUAGGCACACACACGGAGAGAGAGAGAGAAAUUAAAAUAAACAAGCAAAAUACAGUAAGACUAAAAAUGCCCAAACAAAGCAAAAUGCGAAAAAACGAUGUCUAUAAAAUUACCAUUGAGUUUAUUUUGUGUUGGCCAAUGACACCUGGGUAUAAAGCCUGCCCUGGAAUGUUGUUAAUACUACUUCACUGG